ACCUGGCUGGCUCAGUGGGUAGAGCAUAUGACUUUGAUCUUGAGGUCAUAUGACUCUUGAUCUUGAGGUCAUGAGUUCGAGCCCCAUGUUGGGUG
rnacentral:tRNA from 1 species